rnacentral:rRNA from 1 species
UUAAAUUUAUUUAUUAAUAAAAAUAGUUAAAAAUUAUAAUUAAUAAAAAUAAUUUUAUUUAAGGUUAAAGUAUUUUUUAAAGAAAAAAUUCAAAUUUAUAAUAAAAAAUAGUAUUAAAAAAGAAAAUUGAAAUAAUAUGAAAAAUUUUAAUUUAAAAAGAAAUUUUUAUUAAAUGUACCUUGUGUAUCAGGGUUUAUUAAAUAAUUAAUAAUAAUUUAUUAAUUUCGAAUUGAAAAGAUUUAAUUAUAAGUUUUAGUUAUUGUAGAAUAAUUAUUAAUAAGUUAUAAUUAGAAAUGAAACGUUAAUCGUUUUUUAAUAUAUCUAAUUUUUUAAGAAAUAAGUUUAAUUUAGUUAUUUAUUUAUAAAAAUUUUAAUUUUAAUUUUUUAUAAUUAAAUAAUAAUAUUUUAAGGGAUAAUCUUUAAAAUAAAUAUUUAUAUUAAAUUUAUAAAUUAAUAAAUGUAAGCAUAGAAAUUGUUAUCAUUAAUAAAUUUGUUAUAAUUUAUGUUAUUAAUAUUUUUAUUUUUUUUUAAAUUAAAUUAUUUAUUAAAAUUUAGUUUUUAAUUAAAAAAAAUUAGUAAUAAUGAUAAAAUUAGUAUAAUUUUUUUUUAUAUUUUAAAAUUUUUUUUAUAUUAAAAUAUUUUUAUAAGGAAUUCGACAAAUAAAUAUAUUUACCUGUUUAUUAAAAACAUGUCUUUUUGAAUUUUAUAUAAAGUCUGGCCUGCCCCCUGAUAUAUUAAAUGGCCGCGGUAUUUUGACCGUGCAAAGGUAGCAUAAUCAUUAGUUUUUUAAUUGAAAGCUUGUAUGAAUGGUUGGAUAAAAUAUAUGUUGUCUUUUAAAAAAAUAUAUUUGAAUUUUAUUAUUGAAUAAAAAGGUUUAAAUAAUAGUAAAAGACGAGAAGACCCUAUAAAUCUUUAUAGUUAAUUUUAUUUAAAUAAUUUAGAUUAUUAAUUUAUUUUUAUAAAAUUAAUUAUUUUAUUGGGGGGAUAUUAAGAUUUUUAUAACUCUUAAUUUUUAUUAACAAUAAUAUUUGAAUUUUUGAUCUAAUUUUAUUAAUUAAAAAAUUAAGUUACUUUAGGGAUAACAGCGUAAUAUUUUUGGAGAGUUCAUAUUAAUAAAAAAGAUUGCGACCUCGAUGUUGGAUUAAGAGUUAUUUUUAGGUGCAAAAGUUUAAAAUUUAAGUCUGUUCGACUUUUUGAUUCUUACAUGAUCUGAGUUUAGACCGGCGUGAGCCAGGUUAGUUUCUAUCUUUAUUUAAUAGUUAUAUUUUAGUACGAAAGGACCAAAUAUAAAAAAUUUAGUUUUUUGUAAAUGAAUUUAAUUAAAAUAAUGA